AGCAGCAUGGCGCAGAUGGAAGCGCGCGGGGCCCAUAACCCCGAGGUCACUCGAUCGAAACGAGUUGCUGCUA